rnacentral:rRNA from 1 species
GACGAACGCUGGCGGCGUGCUUAACACAUGCAAGUCGAACGGAAAGGCCCUGCUUUUGUGGGGUGCUCGAGUGGCGAACGGGUGAGUAACACGUGAGUAACCUGCCCUUGACUUUGGGAUAACUUCAGGAAACUGGGGCUAAUACCGGAUAGGAGCUCCUGCUGCAUGGAGGGGGUUGGAAAGUUUCGGCGGGUGGGGAUGGACGCGCGGCUUAUCAGCUUGCUGGUGGGGUAGUGGCUUACCAAGGCUUUGACGGGUAGCCGGCCUGAGAGGGUGACCGGCCACAUUGGGCCUGAGAUACGGCCCAGACUCCUACGGGAGGCAGAAGUGGGGAAUAUUGCACAAUGGGCGGAAGCCUGAUGCAGCAACGCCGCGUGCGGGAUGACGGCCUUCGGGUUGUAAACCGCUUUCGCCUGUGACGAAGCGUUAGUGACGGUAAUGGGUAAAGAAGCACCGGCUAACUACGUG